GACAAAACAAAAAACAGAACAUGUCAUCAUCAUUCAUCAAACUAUGUCAGUACACAAAACCUUCGAGAUUAACCGAAUGGAUCAUCAUUCAUCACCUCAAAAUCCAACACUCAGAAGGCAUCAAAUUCGGAGAUUCGUCACAUGAUUCCAUCAUGUUGAGACGUGGACACAAAUCAAAGCUAUGGAAUUCACGGGUACCUGUGCUUGCCAUUUCUCUUGCAUUUAUGCUAGUGCUAGUGAUUCUCUUUCUAGUUCUUCAUAAUGACAGUGAUGGUGAAAAACCCAGUUUAGCUUAUGAAGUUUCUGAACAAAAAUGGAGUAGCUUUGACUCUUUGGUGAAAUUGCAUCCAACAAGAGAGUUCAGGAAUGGAACUGAUUUGAUAUGGCAAGUACCUGAAUCACCUAAAGGUGUUAUGUUUUUAGCUCAUGGAUGCAAUGGCAGGUCUAUCAAUUUUUGGGACAAGUCCCCUGAAUGUCCUAAUUGCAUUGGUUUGCCUGAGGAAAGGUUGCUUGUACUUCAUGGUCUUGCACAAGGUUUUGCUGUUAUUACUAUUUCAAGUGCAAGAACAUGUUGGAGUUUUGGUAAGGAAGUGUUAGUUGUUAAAGACAUUUUGGAGUGGUGGAUUGGUAGAAGGAAGCUUGAGAAACUUCCUCUUGUGGCUUUGGGUGCUUCAUCUGGAGGGUAUUUUGUAUCUGUGCUUGCCACUGCUGUGAAAUUUAAUAGUAUUGUAAUCAUGAUUGCUGAGGGGAUGUUUGAGGAAAUGGAUGUUAAAGAGGACUACCCGCCUACCCUUUUUGUUCACAUGCCUAAGGAUCUUUAUAGGCAGCAGAAAAUAGAUGAGUAUGUAGAGGUUUUGAAAGGUAAAGGGAUUGAUGUUGGUGUUGUUGAAUGUAUGGAGUUCCCAUUGUCGCCGAACACGUUAGCUGAUAGAAUUCCAGGUCUUGAUCUGACUCUUUCUAGAAGUUUAUUUGAAAUCUUUCAGGGAAAGGGCUUUGUUGAUCAAAAUGGAUAUAUGCGGAAAGAUGGACGUCGAAUAAAAUGGGAAAAGGCUGUUGAGGAGAAGAAAACUCUUUCGCUGGAUAAGCGUCUGGUCCCUCAUAUCCAGGAGGAGCUAAACCUUGCUUUUGCUUCCCAUGAGAUGACUAGCAUCCAUUCUGACCAGAUUUUUAAAUGGUUUGAAUCUCAUAUGGGGUGAUUAGACCUUGAUUGUGAUGCGCUCCGGUGUUUAAAUUGCUAUCUGCUGUGAAAGAAUUGUGGCCAACAACAGGACUAGUAUGUCAUUGAAGCCACUUGUAUUCCAAGAGAUUUGAGACCUAACUUCCUCUUAUUUUCCUAAAAUUCAACCACUGAUCCAUUGACUUGCAUGUAAAGACUUCUAUAGUGGUGACUCUGUUAGGGACUCAGUUUCAAGGGCUGGAAUUUCUUAACUGGGUGUUACUGUCAGAGGUUUUCAAUUUAAAAGGGCUUACCUACCGGUGUAAUUUUUCUGAACCAAAGGACAGCUUUGUACAAUGCCUGUUAAGGCGCUCAAAAAGACAUUAAUUGGUCCUCACAUGGCUAUUUAAUCCUUCCUGUGCCAUUAUAUGUCUCAGCAUUCCUAUUUCAUAUAGGGGCCCUGCUAGCAUGUUGGACCAUCUAUUAUUGUCUUUUGUUUGUAUGUAUAGAAAACAAAACUAUUGCCUACAAUACUAAACACCUUUAUAGUAUAGACCUUGCUUGUGUUUGCAAGGCUCAACCAAUCAUGCAUAUCACUUGAAUGCAAUUCAUAUUGCAUGAACAAUCAACAUUUCUAGACUAGCUUCUUUGGCAUUACUCUUUAUGGAUAAUUAGUUGUUUUUAAAGGUUAUGUUGAUGGACCUUCAUUAAUGAAAAGGUGAUGCAGAUCCAUAGUGUUGAACGUUCUUGCUA